GGGGCUGCCUUGGUUUCGACAUUUAAGGAUUGUUAAAGUAUGAUGCAGGUCGAAGUUGGUAUUCUUCGUAAAAAGGCCAAAAAUUAAAAUAAAUGCUAACAGUAUUAUCUCUUUUAUCUUCAAAGCAUUAACUAAUAUUAUUAAACCACAACGCGCUGCGUUAAGCUACGCUGUUUAAAUUAAUUUAAAUAUUAGUUUAUUAGUUUUAAAUAAUUCUCUUUGUUCACUAUAACUAGACUUUUUUCUUGUUCAUAGUUUAGACUAACUUUAAUUAUUAUAACUUGUUCAAGUUUUUGAACUAAACCUGUGAAUGAGUACGUUAAUGAAAUUUAGAUGGACGUGG
rnacentral:tmRNA from 1 species